rnacentral:rRNA from 1 species
UACGUAGGGUGCAAGCGUUAUCCGGAAUUAUUGGGCGUAAAGAGCGUGUAGGCGGCCACACAGGUCUGCUGUGAAAACUCGAGGCUCAACCUCGAGCUGUCGGUGGAAACCGUGUGGCUAGAGUCCGGAAGAGGAGAGUGGAAUUCCCGGUGUAGCGGUGAAAUGCGCAGAUAUCGGGAAGAACACCCGUGGCGAAGGCGGCUCUCUGGGACGGUACUGACGCUGAGACGCGAAAAGCGUGGGGGAGCGAACAGG